rnacentral:rRNA from 1 species
UGGGGAAUUUUGGACAAUGGGCGAAAGCCUGAUCCAGCAAUGCCGCGUGUGUGAAGAAGGCCUUCGGGUUGUAAAGCACUUUUGUCCGGAAAGAAAUCCUUGGCUCUAAUACAGUCGGGGGAUGACGGUACCGGAAGAAUAAGCACCGGCUAACUACGUGCCAGCAGCCGCGGUAAUACGUAGGGUGCAAGCGUUAAUCGGAAUUACUGGGCGUAAAGCGUGCGCAGGCGGUUUGCUAAGACCGAUGUGAAAUCCCCGGGCUCAACCUGGGAACUGCAUUGGUGACUGGCAGGCUAGAGUAUGGCAGAGGGGGGUAGAAUUCCACGUGUAGCAGUGAAAUGCGUAGAGAUGUGGAGGAAUACCGAUGGCGAAGGCAGCCCCCUGGCCAAGUACUGACGCUCAUGCACGAAAGCGUGGGGAGCAAACAGGAUUAGAUACCCUGGUAGUCCACGCCCUAAACGAUGUCAACUAGUUGUUGGGGAUUCAUUUCCUUAGUAACGUAGCUAACGCGUGAAGUUGACCGCCUGGGGAGUACGGUCGCAAGAUUAAAACUUAAAUGAAUUGACGGGGUCAUAGCUGUUUCCU